AGUGAACGCUGGCGGUAGGCCUAACACAUGCAAGUCGAACGGCAGCACAGUAAGAGCUUGCUCUUACGGGUGGCGAGUGGCGGACGGGUGAGGAAUACAUCGGAAUCUACUUUUUCGUGGGGGAUAACGUAGGGAAACUUACGCUAAUACCGCAUACUACCUACGGGUGAAAGCAGGAGAUCUUCGGACCUUGCGCGAUUGAAUGAGCCGAUGUCGGAUUAGCUAGUUGGCGGGGUAAAGGCCCACCAAGGCGACGAUCCGUAGCUGGUCUGAGAGGAUGAUCAGCCACACUGGAACUGAGACACGGUCCAGACUCCUACGGGAGGCAGCAGUGGGGAAUAUUGGACAAUGGGCGCAAGCCUGAUCCAGCCAUACCGCGUGGGUGAAGAAGGCCUUCGGGUUGUAAAGCCCUUUUGUUGGGAAAGAAAAGCAGCAGGUUAAUACCCCGAUGUUCUGACGGUACCCAAAGAAUAAGCACCGGCUAACUUCGUG
rnacentral:rRNA from 1 species